rnacentral:rRNA from 1 species
AACGAACGCUGGCGGCAGGCCUAACACAUGCAAGUCGAACGCUCCGCAAGGAGAGUGGCAGACGGGUGAGUAACACGUGGGAAUCUUCCUAUCGGUACGGAAUAGCUCAGGGAAACUUGAGGUAAUACCGCAUACGCCCUUCGGGGGAAAGAUUUAUCGCCGAUCGAUGAGCCCGCGUCUGAUUAGCUAGUUGGUGGGGUAAUGGCCUACCAAGGCGACGAUCAGUAGCUGGUCUGAGAGGAUGACCAGCCACACUGGGACUGAGACACGGCCCAGACUCCUACGGGAGGCAGCAGUGGGGAAUAUUGGACAAUGGGCGCAAGCCUGAUCCAGCCAUGCCGCGUGAGUGACGAAGGUCUUCGGAUUGUAAAGCUCUUUUGCCAGGGACGAUAAUGACGGUACCUGGAGAAUAAGCCCCGGCUAACUUCGUGCCAGCCGCCGCGGUAAAAC